rnacentral:rRNA from 1 species
UGGGGAAUAUUGGACAAUGGGGGCAACCCUGAUCCAGCAAUGCCGCGUGUGUGAAGAAGGCCUUCGGGUUGUAAAGCACUUUAGGUUGGGAGGAAGGUGAGUAGUUUAAGAGAUGAUUCACUUGACUGUACCGACAGAAUAAGCACCGGCUAACUCUGUGCCAGCAGCCGCGGUAAUACAGAGGGUGCGAGCGUUAAUCGGAGUUACUGGGCGUAAAGGGCGCGUAGGCGGUGCUAUAAGAUUGAUGUGAAAUCCCUGGGCUUAACCUAGGAACUGCAUCGAUGACUGUAGUACUGGAGUACUGUAGAGGGUAGUGGAAUUUCCGGUGUAGCGGUGAAAUGCGUAGAGAUCGGAAGGAACACCAGUGGCGAAGGCGGCUACCUGGACAGAUACUGACGCUGAGGCGCGAAAGCGUGGGGAGCAAACAGG